AUCCAGUUGACGAGUCCCAAACAGGACGAAAUGCGCAUCCUGCCU
rnacentral:hammerhead_ribozyme from 1 species